GACAAACGCUGGCGGCGUACCUAAGACAUGCAAGUCGAACGGCCCUUCUGCGGGGGGGCAGUGGCGGACGGGUGAGGAACACGUAUGGAACCUAGCACGAGCAGGGGGAUAACUCUGGGAAACCAGGGCUAAGACCGCGUACGCUCUCGAGGGGAAGGACCUUGAGAGGAAAGGGGCUGGUGAGGAGCCAGGUCUGGCUUGUGGGGGGCAUGCGCCUGAUUAGCUAGUUGGUGGGGUAAGAGCCUACCAAGGCGACGAUCAGUCGCUGGUCUGAGAG
rnacentral:rRNA from 1 species